UACGUAGGGGGCAAGCGUUGUCCGGAAUCAUUGGGCGUAAAGCGCGUGUAGGCGGCCCGGUAAGUCCGCUGUGAAAGUCGGGGGCUCAACCCUCGAAUGCCGGUGGAUACUGUCGGGCUAGAGUGCGGAAGAGGCGAGUGGAAUUCCUGGUGUAGCGGUGAAAUGCGCAGAUAUCAGGAGGAACACCAAUUGCGAAGGCAGCUCGCUUGGGACGUGACUGACGCUGAGACGCGAAAGCGUGGGGAGCGAACAGG
rnacentral:rRNA from 1 species